CAAUUCAAAAAAGUGUUAUUGAUUCUCAAUAGUAAUUUGCAAAUAGCUAGCUUACAAAGUCGCUAGCUAUUGUGCAAAGUAUUUGAGAGAGUUAUUUUUAGAAGAUCGUGCUAGAUUAGCUAUUUAUGAGUCGCUAGCUAUUAGGAAGUCGCUAACUAUUAAGAAAUCGCUAGCUACUGUGGAGAGUAGUAUUUGAGAGAGUUAUUUCUAGAAGAUCGUGCUAGAUUAUCUAUUUAUGAGUCGUUAGCUACUUUUUUAGUAUUUUUAUACUUCAUCUCACUAGUUGUUUGUAAAGUGUUAUUGAGAGCCAAUAGAAUUCCUUCUAGAUAGCUAUUUAAUAACCAUUGCGGAUGGUCUUAUAUUAGAGUUAGAUAGAGAGAUGGUCUAGCAUUGGACACAUACAUCGAGUACUAAGACCAUCCUGAAUGGGGUUUCAUGACUCAGUUUAAUACAUACUCUCUCUCCUAGAAUCCGUGUCAGUCAAACUUUUUUAACUUUAAUCAACUUUAAAAAAAACUUAUUAAAAAAACUUGUCAAAAAAAAUUAUAAAAAAGAGCAUCAAUAUCUAUGACAUAAAAUUAGUAACUUAUGAAAAUAUAUUCUAUGAUAAAUUUAAUGGUAUUAAUUUGGUACUAUAAAUUUUACCGUCUUUUUUCUAUAAAUUUGGUCAAAAUUUUAAAAAAAAUGACUUUACACCUCUAGAAGUUGCAGGGGACCGAGGGAGUACAUAUUUUGGAAAUAGUCUACUCUCGUGAAAUUCUUAUCAUCUCUUUAUUCAUUAAUAUGGUGUCACAUCAGCAUAUUUAAUGUCCAUGAGACUCUAAUGGAACUCUAUUGAGACUGGUCUAAAUAUAGACUAUUAUGAAAUAAAAAACACAACUAGAAAAUAAUUUACGAGACAAAUCUUUUAAACCUGAUUAGUUCAUGCUUAGUAGAUAUUAAUUGCCAAAUAAAACAAAAAAGGUACCGUACAUGUUAAACUUUAACAAAGUAGACCAAAUUGUUUUUGACCCCAACUUCAUGUGAAAAAAAUAAAAUAAAAUUAAAUUAAAUUAAAAGAACAUGUGCAGCAUGGAUCAUUCAGCACAUAGUAGAUGCGGAUGCGGAGACAGCCUGCAUAUCCGCCCGUAGCGUCGUCGUCCGGCCGGCCC
rnacentral:lncRNA from 1 species